AAUAAGAAUGCAAGGAAUGGUGCCCGUCGGGCUCAAUAGGGAAUUCGCCAUAAACGAAGCUGUCCCAGCAACUGUAGACAAGGACGAAGGGAAAUAAGCCACUGCCGCAAGGCGGGAAGGCUCCCCGAGGAUGAUCUGUCAGCCAGUAGACCUGCCUUCCGCUGCAACGUUUU
rnacentral:ncRNA from 2 species